GGCCAAUAGGGGCCCCCUGAAGGGUGCAGUACAAUCCUUCAGAAUAUGAAAGGUAAAUGGUCUUGCUUUAUACUAGUACGGGCAUGGUCCUGAAACUUGCAAGUAUAGGGACCUCUGCAAUUAAUACUGUGUCAAUCAAACUACAUGUAGAGUCUGUCAAACCUUUAAAGGGAAUUGGUAUUUGAGACUUGUGUAGGGUCCCUUCACUUGUAAGUUUUAGGACUUGCUCUGCUUUGUAGACCAUGUCAGCCAUUCACUAUGAUAAUCGCUUUUAUCAUUGAUCAUAUUCAUCAAUUUAUCUGUGCAAGUAUAUCCACAGCAUGGAUAUUGCUGUGUGCAAAACUAGAUAAUGAUAUCUCAGUACAUUCAAAGUUGGAGAUUAUUAAAAUGACUUCUGCCAGAUCUUGCAGUAACUACAUGAUAUUAUGUGUGUGGCUGUUAAAAAUGUGCAAUUUUAUCCGACGUAUCUAUCGUGUACAUGAAUAGGUAGAGAGAUUUGACAUACUAGUAACUAUUCAAGGUUGAAUAACUGAUAAGCAUAUUUGGGGUGUACAAGGAAGUUAUCUUGCCAUUGGUUAAACAGAUUACCAUAAUCAGUCAUGAAAGUCGAUCAUGAAUGCGUCUAUAAAUAGCUUUUUCUACGUAUGCACUGGUAGUGUCUCGAUUAUACAGUGGAAAUUUUCAAGAAACAACACAAUUCAUCAAGACUUUGUUAUAUUUUAUCAAUGAUCAUAAUACUUCAUAAUAUUCAUCAGGUUUAUCAAAUAAUCUGUUGGUGUUUCUUGGCUUAAAAUCACAACUUUAUUAUGCUGUAUUGAUAACAACCAAAUGUCUUGUGUCAUUUACUGGUGUAUGAGGCUAAACAAAGUACCCUCUCAUUUUAAAGCCCCACACUUCAAAGGCUGAUCUGGAUGAAAAUCCCAAGCUCCUGGACUCUUCCCCCAUUUCCACUUCAAACUACAAGCUGACAACAUAAUGGCUAAUGCUGUCACUUAGCAAGUCUGGACACCUCGAGGACAGAAUGGCUGGAAUUCGCUGCCCUGCGAUGAACCGAUUCAUCAAGCACGCUCACGCAUUCCUGGAAACUUUCCAGCAUCGCUUGUCCCACUGCCCCUAUUGCAAAACAGAUAAAAUGAGAAAAAUUAUUUAAAUUUUCAUAUUUUUAAAAAUUUGCUUGACUGAUUUAUUUCAGGUCACAAGGUAGGUAGUCGGAGAUUGAGGAAACUGAAUUCAUGGAAUGCUUGAUGAAAAUGAAUAAAAUGCAAUAAAAAGU
rnacentral:misc_RNA from 1 species